UACGUAGGGGGCAAGCGUUGUCCGGAAUCAUUGGGCGUAAAGCGCGUGUAGGCGGCCCGAUAAGUCCGCUGUGAAAGUCCAAGGGCUCAACCCUGGAAUGCCGGUGGAUACUGUCGGGCUCGAGUCCGGAAGAGGCGAGUGGAAUCCUGGAUGUAGCGGUGAAAUGACGCAGAUAUCAGGAGGAACACCGAUGGCGAAGGCAGCUCGCUGGGACGGUACUGACGCUGAGAACGCGAAAGCGUGGGGAGCGAACAAG
rnacentral:rRNA from 1 species